rnacentral:rRNA from 1 species
AUUGAACGCUGGCGGCAGGCCUAACACAUGCAAGUCGAACGAGUGGCGGACGGGUGAGUAAUGUCUGGGAAACUGCCUGACGGAGGGGGAUCACUACUGGAAACGGUAGCUAAUACCGCAUACCAUCGGAUGGCCCCAGAUGGGAUUAGCUAGGAGGUGGGGGAAAGGCUCACCUAGGCGACGAUCCCUAGCUGGUGUGAGAGGAUGACCAGCGACCCCGGAACUGGGACACGGUCCCGACUCCUACGCGUGGGAGCAGUGGGAGAUAUUGAAAGAUGGCAGCGAGCCUGAUGCAGCCAUGGCGCGUGUAUGAAGAAGGCGUUCGGGUUGUAAAGUACUUUCAGCGGGGAGGCGUUACCUACAGAAGAAGCAACGGCUAACUCCGUGCCAGCCGCCGCGGGAAUUC